CGGGGGAGCAUGUGGUUUAAUUCGAUGCAACGCGAAGAACCUUACCUACUCUUGACAUCCAGAGAACUUUCCAGAGAUGGAUUGGUGCCUUCGGGAACUCUGAGACAGGUGCUGCAUGGCUGUCGUCAGCUCGUGUUGUGAAAUGUUGGGUUAAGUCCCGCAACGAGCGCAACCCUUAUCCUUUGUUGCCAGCGGUUAGGCCGGGAACUCAAAGGAGACUGCCAGUGAUAAACUGGAGGAAGGUGGGGAUGACGUCAAGUCAUCAUGGCCCUUACGAGUAGGGCUACACACGUGCUACAAUGGCAUAUACAAAGAGAAGCGACCUCGCGAGAGCAAGCGGACCUCAUAAAGUAUGUCGUAGUCCGGAUUGGAGUCUGCAACUCGACUCCAUGAAGUCGAAUCGCUAGUAAUCGGACUUCC
rnacentral:rRNA from 1 species